rnacentral:rRNA from 1 species
GAUGAACGCUGGCGGCGUGCCUAAUACAUGCAAGUCGAGCGAACAGACGAGGAGCUUGCUCCUCUGACGUUAGCGGCGGACGGGUGAGUAACACGUGGCUAACCUACCUAUCAGACUGGGAUAACUUCGGGAAACCGGAGCUAAUACCGGAUAAUAUAUUCAACCGCAUGGUUCAAUAGUGAAAGACGGCUUUGCUGUCACUUAUAGAUGAUUCCGCGCCGCAUUAGCUAGUUGGUAAGGUAACGGCUUACCAAGGCACCGAUGCGUAGCCGACCUGAGAAGGUGAUCGGCCACACUGGAACGGAGACACGGUCCAAAGUCCUACGGGAGGCAGCAGUAGGGAAUCUUCCGCAAUGGGCGAAAGCCUGACGGAGCAACGCCGCGUGAGUGAUGAAGGUCUUCGGAUCGUAAAACUCUGUUAUUAGGGAAGAACAAAUGUGUAAGUAACUAUGCACGUCUUGACGGUACCUAAUCAGAAAGCCACGGCUAACUACGUG